CCUGAUUGUGGGAUAACAGAGGGGGCCUCCAAACCUGGACAUUUAAAGUAUAGGAGGUCCAACAGGGAAAGAAAAUCCUUCAGAAUUCAUAGAAAGAAUUUUUGAUGCUUACAGAGAGGAUACUGAUCUCAACACACAGGCCCCAGAAAACCAGUGCCAUGCCACGGGUCACAGUGCCCCAGAUGCUGGAAAGAAAUUCCGAAAGUUAGAAGAGGGACUUGGGUAUCCCACGUCCCUGUUGGCUGAGGUUGCUUUUCAAGGUUUUUAACAACAGAGACCAGGCUCAAGAAAGGCGGAAGUGAUGAGACAUGUGGCAUUUGUCCCCAGGAAAAAUCCAAACACCUCUGGACCAACCAAGAAGACCACUGGGGUAAGCUAACCACUUAGCAAAAGGGGACCUCCUCUGUGCCAUCAUCAAUGUGCUUAGAUCAUCAAUGCCAACAAGAAAAUAAAAAGGGCAGCCAGGAGCAGGGCUCCCAGGUGCCACCACUGACUGAGAGUGACCGGGACUGGUGGGGCCCAGAGGCUCCCCCCAGUUUGUACAGCAGUCUUAACGUUUCUCACAAGGAUCCUGCCUGACUGCACCUGUGGGAAAGAAGCCAGCAGACUUUCUAACUGAUACCGGCGCCACUCACUUCAUUCUAAAGUCUCCAGCAGCUCCACUCUCUUUCUAAAAGCAUGCUUGUGGCCAGGGUUUCAGGAAGAACUAUACAAAAGCCUUUUAUUCAACCUCUGGGAUGUAAAAUUGGAAAAGCUUACUCAAAACAUUGCUCCUUACACAUGCCUGCAUGCCCAAGAGCGCUGCUGGGAUGUGAUUUAUUGGCUAACCUAAAUGCCCAGGUAACCAGCUCUGCCAGCAAGGCAAACACUAACGUUCCAUCAGUGUGGGCUGUGUCUGUCUAGCUGCCCUAUGAGAAUCAGGACCGCAACUGACCAGAGAAACACCCUGGGAUAUUCUCCCGCAGGUAAAUCCGGGUAGCUGGAACACAGAACAAACUCCAACAGUGGAGCCAGUCGUGACAGAACCUACGGGGAAAAGCUGGGCUCCUAAAAUCAAACAGUGCUCUCCAACAAGGCAGGCUUUGGCAAGAAUCAAGCAUUAAUAGACAUCUGCCUGAAAAAUGGGCUCACUGGGCCCUGUCACUCUCCUGACAAUACUCCCAUGUUUCCUGUGCAAAACCAGGAACCAGUGAGAGCUGGUGUGUGCAGGAUCUGGGAGUCAUAAUCAGAUCCUGAGACAUCAUCCACCUCCUUCCAGGGGCUUCCGCUGAUUCCCUGCUAGAUUUAAAGGAAGACUUUCUAUGCAUACCUCUGAGCCCGGAGUCUCAGGAACAAAUGAUGGAAAAAUCCUGGACUGUGCUACCACUAGGUUUUUCAAAUGUUCCACCUAACUUGGCAGAAGCUUUAGCCAAAGACUUCAGAGAAUCAAAAUAACAGAAGGGACCCUGCUUCAAUAGGUGGAUGAUGUUCUGAUGGCCAGCAAAACUAAAGAGACUUCAGACCUAAAUAAGUCACUUUAAAUUUCUUGGCACAGCGAGAUUACAAGGUCUCUCAGUGAAAGGUUCAAAUUUCCCAGCCCGCAGUUAAGGAGUUGAUAUUUAUGUUAGCAAGAGGACAGACUUACUCCCUGAUCAAAAGGGAGCUGCACCUGUGACCUGGAGCCAACCCCAGGGACUCCUCAGUGUGCCUGGCUCUUGCCACAACUGGAUCCCAAUUUAGGACUGACUGCAAAAGGCUGAGAUUAAGCUGUCAAAGGCUACAGAACAUGAAAGAGAAUUCCAAACCAUCCAAGAAAAUCAACGAUUUCACAAUUUGAGAAAACUGAAAAUUUUGUGCACAAGACGCAGGAAACUGUGAGGAAUUAACCAGAAAUAAUCCACCUGAUCUCCCAGGGCGAGCAAGCUUUAAUCAAAUGGCCUGUCAAUUUCUGGAGAAUGACCAGCUCCCAGGAGGGAUGCAUCAGAAUUGGAGAUUCAGAUACUGAAAGCACUUGAUUUAUUUUUGAGGAGUGAUCCUGUAGGACCAGCACAAUAAGCCCACUUUUCUAGACUCUGAGAGGAGACACCAGGUUCGACAUGAGGAGACAGUUUAUUAUUUGUGUGGCCGGCAAAGGAAAUCAGGACUUUGGAUCCAAUGUUCCUCCUCCCCCGCUGGCUCAGAGCAGAAGCUGAGGAAGCCUGCGGGGUGGGGCGCUGCACUGCAGGUACCGUCCUCAGUUCCUCACUGUCUCAGCUGCGCACCUGCAGCCCCUGAGGAGGCCCUGCCCCGUGAUCGCUGCAGAAACGGGUUGGGCGGAGGAGUGGACCAGGGAGGAAUGGAGUCCUGAUUGGAAUUAGCGGAUUUUCUUCUACCUGAAACGUCUGGGGAACAGCAAUGUGGCACAGCGGGUUCAGCUGCCACCUGCACUGCCGGCAUCCUGUGUUGUUGCACCAGUUCAAGUCCCAGCCACUCUGUUUCCCACCCAGCUCCUUACUAAGAUGCCUGGGAGGCAAUGGAAGAUGGCCCAAAUGAAGCUUCGGCCAUUCAGGAAGCAAACCAGUGGAUGGAAGGUCUCUCUCUCUCUCUCU